rnacentral:lncRNA from 1 species
UUUGUGGAUGCGCGUGCAUUAGCCCGAAAGUUCAUUACGUUGUACACGCUUUGCAAGGAGCUUCUCUCCAAGCAGGAUCAUUACGAUUGGGGACUUCGUGCUAUUAAGUCUGUCUUGGUUGUGGCUGGAUCUCUGAAACGAGGAGAUAAAAAUAGACCCGAAGAUCAGGUACUCAUGAGAGCAUUAAGGGAUUUCAAUAUGCCUAAAAUAGUGACUGACGACAUCCCAGUGUUUCUGGGCCUGGUCGGUGACCUGUUUCCAGCCCUGGAUGUGCCCCGGAGGAGGAAGCUGCAC